rnacentral:rRNA from 1 species
GUCUUUUUGAUCAUAAUUUAAAGUUUAAUCUGCCCACUGAUAAAAAUUAAAGGGCUGCAGUAUUUUGACUGUACAAAGGUAGCAUAAUCAAUAGUCUCUUAAUUGGUGACUUGUAUGAAAGAUUUGAUGAAAUAUAAACUGUCUCAAUUUAAUUUAUAAAAUUUAAUUUUUUAGUUAAAAAGCUAAAAUUUGUUUAAAAGACGAGAAGACCCUAUAGAGUUUUAUAUUUUAAUAAUUUAUUAUUUUAUAUUAUUUUAAAAAUUUUAAGUUAUAAAUUAUUUUAUUGGGGUGAUAGAAAAAUUGAAUUAACUUUUUUUAAAAUUAAAACAUUUAUUUUUGAAAAUAUGAUCCGUAAAUUACGAUUAAAAGAAUAAAUUACCUUAGGGAUAACAGCGUAAUUUUUUUUUUUAGUUCAAAUAAGAAAAAGAGUUUGCGACCUCGAUGUUGGAUUAAGAUAAAAUUUAAAUGCAAAA